rnacentral:rRNA from 1 species
UACGGAAGGGCAAGCGUUGUUCGGAAUCAUUGGGCGUAAAGGGGCGCGUAGGUGGUUCUGUAUGUCUACCGUGAAAGCAAUACAGCUCAACUGUAUUUUGUCGGUAGAAACUGCAGGACUUGAGGCUGGGAGGGGCUGGUGGAAUUCCCUGGUGUAGCGGUGAAAUGCGUAGAGAUGGGGGAAGAACACUCGUGGCGAAGGCGGGCCAGCUAGACCAGUUCUCGACACUGAGGCGCGACAGCGUGGGGAGCAAACAGG